UCUAGUCUUUGUAUAUCUAUGGUCGGCACUUCUGGUAGCAUCUCUGACUGCUGUUGACCUUGUUUUUGGAGUAAAACAAGGUGGAAGCUGAAUUAGUGAGGAUGACUCCUGCUCCUGUCAUCUCUAAGCUCCUCACACAUCUUUACCUGCACAUGAGGAAAAUCACUCCUGUAGAAUGCAGAUGUUCAGAGGGAGAUGAUGCCACAUCUGGUCCAGCCGAUGGAAGGUCUUGAAGUUCUCUGCGUGGCCUCGACUGAAGAUGGUCGUCUCACUGGAUUUAAGGUUCAGAUGCUCAGUAACAAACUCCACCAAUGAGCCAACAGGGAAGCUUUAGGUUUAUUAAAUGUUGCUAUGAAGGUAUCGCUGUUUUUCUUUGUGAAUGCAAUGUGCUCCAACUGAAACUUGAAUUAGAACUUCGAAGUAAAUCCUUCCAUCUGAAAGGAUUUAGUUGCAUUAAUAACCUCAUAACAUUCUAAUUUUUAUUUCAGUCUUGGUUGGAAAUAGAAUCUCUGUAUUGAUUCAGGUAAAAACUGAACUUCACAGCAUGUUGGAGCAAAACAACCAGAUGAAAACUGUGAUGGUGUUGGAUUGUCAGACCGUAAUGUUGCAGCUCUAAGCAGCUUUUCUAUCUCAGUUCAUUCUGACAUUCAGCUAUGAAUCAACACAGCAGAUGGUGAUCCAUGCUGUGGAAGUCUCACAUCUCCUGAUUUAAUGGAACUGCUUUGCACUUUUUACACUGUUUAUUCACCAACACUUUAUUUAAUAAAAGUCCCAUCUAGUUUUUAUGAGGAAUGUGAUGUUUUAAUUUCUCUGUGAAUAACUGCAGUCUAAUGCAACAGCUGGAGUUGUAACAUCUGUCCUGAUAUUGAUCAUGAAGUAUUGAUCAGAAUACUUAUGGUCAGCAGUCAUCCCUGAAGUUUUACAUUAAAAUCUUUACUUGUGUUGUGAACUUCGGUAAGAAGCAGAAACUUUUGCGUUGCCAUGGAUACAUGAGUGUUAAAUUCUGUCCAUGUUUCCAUUUUGGGAAAUGCAGUCCAGUUCCAGAAUGUGGAGUAAUUUAGUCUCACAGUCACAGACAACAAAUAUUAUCUGAAAGUCUGGUUAUUGUUGUUUAUCAGCACAAUACAAAAAGAUUAAUGUUAGAAAUAUUCCAGUUAAGACUCUAGAAUAUCAUGAUUUAUGUAAAUUUAUCUCAAUAAUAUGAAUGUUCAGUUUAAGAUUGUGCAGUGAUAUUUAUUAUGCAAGUUUAACUGAUUAAAGUUUAUCACUCUGCACUAAAGUAUUAUUUAAAUUGACAUCGUUAUUAUAAUAUUUAGGGUCAGACCCUACAGUAUUGAGAUUAAAAAAUCAAAUAUUCUAUAAAAUGUAAAUACACUGAACUCAUUUGGAUAUAUUUUAGUGAAACUCUAAAAUAUUAUUUGACACAAAUCUAUCUAAAUCAAAAUUUUAAUAAUUUUCACACCAAACAUUUACUGGACUGAUUUAAAUAUUAAAAUCACUCCUUUCUAAUCCUCUGCUGUAUGUUCAAACCUGAGGCCUUAAAUAGAAACACACAAGUAUCUGUUUGAAGGAACUUCUGCAGAGUCCUGGUUCCAGAACAUGAUGAUAGAAUUAUAGACAAACUUUAACAAAAGCUGCCUCAGAGUUUACAAGUUUUUAUGUUGGAUUUCUUCAGUAAUUUAAUGAGCGUUAUCAGCAAUAAUCAACUGUCAUUUGAUGAACUUCAUUUCCUAAAACAUCCAGAAUUGGAGCUCAUAUCUUUGGCAGCUGUAAAGUUUCUGCUCCUUCAAAGUUCACAACACAAUCAAUGAAUUCCUAAAACACUCUCAAUGCUGGAGAGCAUUUGAUGCUGAAGCAGUGAUCAGUUUUUCUGUUUCUUCUCUGGAGAUGCACAAUGAGGGACGUCUGCAGAGACUGAGAAAGAGUCUCACCACAUCCUGACAUGAGGAAAAAGACUUUAUUGAAGACUACAAUGAGAAAAACUAUCAGACAGCAGACGGCUGCAUUCAGGGUGAGCUCUGAACAUCUAAUCUGGAACAGGAAUUCAAGAACGGCAGCAUGAGCUUCAUUUCAGUCUGUAGCUGCUGAAUUCAUAGAUGAAUCAUCUGGAACUAGAGAAGAAGACCAUCAAACAUCCACAUCAGCUGAUGGAGGUCCAAGAGUCUCACCAAACAACCAACCUACAGAGUGAAGACCUCAAAUCUGAUUGGACGGCGUCCUAUUCAGCCACACGUGAACAAAUGCCUCUAAGCUGAUUUAUUUUCUAAAAUAAAUCUAGUUUGAGUCCUAAUCUAUGCCUGUGUGUUUGCUUCUUUACACUGCUGUUAACAGUUUAGGCUGUUAGAUUGUUCCAGAUAAGACAAGUAAAAGAUACUUCAGAGCCGUUCUACCACGAGCCUGACAGGAAGAACUCCAACAGCUACUGAAUGUUCCUGUGGUCCCCUCAAGGCUACAGGAGGAGCCCUACGAGGACGAGCCGGUCCACCUGAUGGAGGCCAGUGGCUGCGGUUCAAAGCCAACACCAACUACGUGGACUUCUACUGGACCACACGGAGGCCUUCAAACCGGACCAACAAGUUCAGCGACUCCCCGACUCGUGGGUCUGAGGACGCCGCUGAGCCUCGGUCCAGCCGGCCUCCUGUCUGUGGGUGUUUGAGUGCUGAGAGGUUUGUGGAUGCAUGUGAACGUUCUGUGUUGAAACAGCAGCUUUGGACUCAGUAACGCUGGGAAAAACCAAGAGCUCCUUUAUUUGUGACUUCCACUAAAAAAACUGAUGAAAAUAAGUUUGCCAGGGUUCUGACUGAUAACAGAUUAUUAAAUAAUGAAAAUAAUCGUUUAAAUAUUCCUUUAAACAAUCCUUUUAGGUCUACAUUUCCUUUACACUGACUUCUUGGUAUAUGUACAAGUAUUUUGGGUGGAAUAUACCAUUAAGCCUGAUGUUCAAGGGUUCUUCUGGGAAUAUACCAUUAAACCAACCCUUUAGGUAAAUGUUCCAGGAUGUUGAGUAGAAUAUACCAUCAGAUCAACCUUUUAGGUCUACAUUGGAAGAUUUUAGAGUAGAAUAUUACUCCAAACCAUCCUUUAGGUCUACAUUUAAGGUGGAAUACUCCUUUACAACAAGAUUUUUUGGUCUACAUUGAAAGAUUUUAGGUGGAAUAUUCCUUUGAACGAACUUUUUAAGUUUAUGUUCAAGGAUGUUGGGUGGAAUAUACCAUCAGACCAACCUCCAAGGUCUACAGUAGUGAAUUUUAGAUAGAAUAUACCAUUAAACCCACCUUUUAGGUCUACAUUGGAGGAUUUUAGGUGGAAUUUUCUUCCAAACCAUUCUUUUAGUCUACAUUUAAGGAUGUUUAGGAUGGUAUAUUCUUCCGAACCAAAUUCUCAGGUCUACAUUUCAGGUGGAAUAUUCCUCCAUACUAACUUUUUUGGUCUACAUUGAAGGAUUUUUUCUAAACCACCCUUUCCGGUCUAUAUUUGAUGUUUUAGGUGGAAGAUUCAUUUUAACCAGCCCCUCAGGUCUCUUUGAGGAUUUUGGAUGGAAUACUCGGUUAAACCAACAUUUUAGGUGCAUGUCCAAGGAUUUUUGGUGGAAUGUUCCUUUAAGGUGGAUGUUUGAGGACCUUGUAGGUGGAAUACUUCCUGAAACCAACCUUUUAGGUCAACAUUCAAAGAUUUAAGGUGGAAUAUUC